rnacentral:rRNA from 1 species
GGGGAAUAUUGGACAAUGGGGGCAACCCUGAUCCAGCAAUGCCGCGUGUGUGAAGAAGGCCUGCGGGUUGUAAAGCACUUUCAGUGGGGAGGAGGACUAAUUAGGUUAAGAGCUAGGUUAGUUGGACGUUACCCACAGAAGAAGCACCGGCUAACUCUGCGCCAGCAGCCGCGGUAAUACGGAGGGUGCGAGCGUUAAUCGGAAUUACUGGGCGUAAAGGGUGCGUAGGUGGUAUGGUAAGUUAUCUGUGAAAUUCCCGGGCUUAACCUGGGGCGGUCAGAUAAGACUGCUGUACUUGAGUAUAGGAGAGGGUAGUGGAAUUUCCGGUGUAGCGGUGAAAUGCGUAGAGAUCGGAAGGAACACCAGUGGCGAAGGCGGCUACCUGGCCUAAUACUGACACUGAGGCACGAAAGCGUGGGGAGCAAAC